rnacentral:tRNA from 1 species
GCGCUCUUAGCUCAGCUGGAUAGAGCAACGGCCUUCUAAGCCGUAGGCCGCAGGUUCGAAUCCUGCAGGGCGCACCA